rfam:Myotis lucifugus cont2.10097, whole genome shotgun sequence.
GGUGGUUCUCAGGUGACGCACCCUGGAAUCAGGCUCCCUCCUCUCUGGUUCUAGGUGCAUCACCCAAGAAUCGCA